rnacentral:rRNA from 1 species
ACGAACGCUGGCGGCGUGCUUAACCCAUGCAAGUCGAACGGAAAGGCCCUGCUUUUGUGGGGUGCUCGAGUGGCGAACGGGUGAGUAACACGUGAGUUACCUGCCCUUGACUUUGGGAUUACUUCAGGAAACUGGGGCUAAUACCGGAUAGGAGCUCCUGCUGCCUGGUGGGGGUUGGAAAGUUUCGGCGGUUGGGGAUGGACUCGCGGCUUAUCAGCUUGUUGGUGGGGUAGUGGCUUACCAAGGCUUUGACGGGUAGCCGGCCUGAGAGGGUGACCGGCCACAUUGGGACUGAGAUACGGCCCAGACUCCUACGGGAGGCAGCAGUGGGGAAUAUUGCACAAUGGGCGGAAGCCUGAUGCAGCAACGCCGCGUGCGGGAUGACGGCCUUCGGGUUGUAAACCGCUUUCGCCUGUGACGAAGCGUGAGUGACGGUAAUGGGUAAAGAAGCACCGGCUAACUACGUG